GGCUGGUCUGAAGAUAGUGAGUUAUCUCAAUUGAUGGUUCACAGUCAAUUACAGAUCAAACUCUUUGUUCUACUCUUCACCCCUUUUUCACUACUGCAUUUAACUAGUCUUUA
ensembl:misc_RNA Y_RNA Y RNA